GACGAACGCUGGCGGCGUGCUUAACACAUGCAAGUCGAACGGUAAGGCCCUUCGGGGUACACGAGUGGCGAACGGGUGAGUAACACGUGGGUGAUCUGCCCUGCACUUCGGGAUAAGCCUGGGAAACUGGGUCUAAUACCGGAUAGGACCCUGGGAUGCAUGUCCUGGGGUGGAAAGCUUUUGCGGUGUGGGAUGGGCCCGCGGCCUAUCAGCUUGUUGGUGGGGUGAUGGCCUACCAAGGCGACGACGGGUAGCCGGCCUGAGAGGGUGACCGGCCACACUGGGACUGAGAUACGGCCCAGACUCCUACGGGAGGCAGCAGUGGGAAUAUUGCACAAUGGGCGCAAGCCUGAUGCAGCGACGCCGCGUGAGGGAUGACGGCCUUCGGGUUGUAAACCUCUUUCAGCACCGACGAAGCGCAAGUGACGGUAGGUGCAGAAGAAGGACCGGCCAACUACGUGCCAGCCGCCACGGUAA
rnacentral:rRNA from 1 species